UACGGAAGGCAGCAGUGGGGAAUAUUGCACAAUGGGCGCAAGCCUGAUGCAGCCAUGCCGCGUGUAUGAAAAAGGCCUUCGGGUUGUAAAGUACUUUCAGUCGUGAGGAAGGUGUUAAGGUUAAUAACCUUAGCAAUUGAUGUUAGCGACAGAAGAAGCACCGGCUAACUCCGUGCCAGCAGCCGCGGUAAUACGGAGGGUGCGAGCGUUAAUCGGAAUUACUGGGCGUAAAGGGCACGCAGGCGGUUAAUUAAGUUGGAUGUGAAAUCCCCGGGCUUAACCUGGGAAUGGCAUUCAAGACUGGUUAGCUAGAGUCUUGUAGAGGGGGUAGAAUUCCAUGUGUAGCGGUGAAAUGCGUAGAGAUGUGGAGGAAUACCGGUGGCGAAGGCGGCCCCUGGACAAAGACUGACGCUCAUGUGCGAAAGCGUGGGGAGCAAAC
rnacentral:rRNA from 1 species